GCCUGGGUGGCUCAGUCAGUUGGGCAUCUGACUUCGGCUCAGGUCAUGAUCUCACAGUUUGUGGGUUCGAGCCCCACGUGGGGCU
rnacentral:tRNA from 1 species